rnacentral:lncRNA from 1 species
GUGGGAUAUAGACCAGUAUUUAUUUUCUUGGAAAGGACCAGAAUUAUGAGAAGAAUAUAGAGUCACACUCCAUAUCAAAAGGUGGCGGUAAUGCACACCUAAACGUUGUUGGCCAACCGCCAUUAAACAUUCAAAGAAGAAGAAGAAGAAGAAGAAGAAGAAGAAGAAGAAGAAGAAGAAGCAGCAGCGUCAGGACAUGCCCGAUGUCUUAAAACCGCUCCCAGAUCAGCCCUGUUGGAGAGUAUUUAUGGGACUGCGGCUGUGCCCCGCUAACGCCAAAAGACCCGCUGAAAUUCAAAGUUAGAGGAGGAGGAGACUUAAAGCUCAUAAACAGUAAGAAGGUUGUUUCUCUUCUCCCGUCAGUUAGUGCCAGCCUGUUUCAAACACUGACGUUUUCAACAGACUUCUUCUCAGCUCAGUAUGGAAGCUGGCGAGGAGAACAGUGGCAACGCCAACUUGAAGAGACAGAGAGCACCUCUGUCAGAUUCUGACGAAAAUGUCCUAUCACCAUCAGGGAUGAAUGAUGGCCAGAAGCGGCGGCGUCUGGAGGCAGCAGGUCAAGAGAACCAAAGCCCCAUACCAUCCAGCUCCGGACGCCUUGCUGAGCUAGGGAUGAAGCCAGAUACACCAAUGGUUCCCUCAGUCUGGUCCAGAGUCCAGCAGCUCACUCAGAUAAGAGAAGGAGCUCCACUGGGCCAGAGGUGCCUGUCAGAUCCUGGGGCUGACAGCCCAACAGCCAUCAUCCUUGACAAGGGCUUCAAAGAGCAUCUCCUUGGUGAGGGAGAAUUCAGUCAGCGAAUGGAGAGGUUUAAAAUGCCAGUCUUCCAGGCUGGCCCCACACUGAGCCCGGCCAGCCUCUGCCCUCGAACCCACUCCAACUUAGUAUCUGGCAUUCAUCAGAAACUCCAAGGAACGACAACGCCCAGCUCCAAGCAGGCCUCUCGCAUGCGCCAGGAACGGGAGCAGGAGUUGAACUUGCUACAUUUCCAACCAAUCAGUGAGAACGCCUGGUUAAAGAGGAGCAGCUCUGAUCCCUCAUUGGCUCAGGUGGGUUUGUGCUUGUGGCAGUUUGCCUGUCAAACUAGUGUUCAUUUUCGUUAACGAACACUAAGACAAAACUAUGAUGAGAUGACACUGACAUCAAACUGUGACCAUAUCAACAGACUAGAUGAAGAAGGAGUUUUAAAAAAAACAACUGCAUUUUUGUUGAUAAAAAGGGAGAUAUAACUGUACAGCUUUUUUUGGCAAACAAUGUCAUGCCUUGUUAAUUUCUGGUGGUUCAGCACGUCAGCAGCAAGACUUGAACACUGGCAACAGCGUUAGACUUGACCCAGUUAUGUAGAUGUAAUAAUUGUUUCUAUAAUGUUUAUUGGGCUUUGUUACACUUUGUUUGAGUUUUUUUUCUACACACCUGUGUGUGUAAACAUUAGCAGGGAAGGACUCCUCCUGGCCCCUCAUCUCCCUCCUCCUGGAUCCCUAGCUCUAGAA